rnacentral:rRNA from 1 species
UAAUUAGCUAAUUAUUAUUUUUUUUAUUUUUAUUAUUUUAAAAAAAAUAAUUUCUUACUUUAGUAGUUUUUAAUGAAAAAGUUAUUUUUAUAAUAGUUUAUUUUACUGUAAAGGUUAUUUAUUAAUUUUAAAUUAGUACUUUUUAUUUAAGGUACCUUUUGUAUCAGGGUUGAUUAAAUUUUAAUUAUAUAUAUAAUUUUCCCGAAAUUAGAAGAUCUAAAUUAUUAUGAUUUUUAAUGUAUCAAAAUUAUUAUUAAUAUUAAUUUAGAUGUGAUAUACAAUUCAUUUCUAAUAUAUCUGGUUAUUUAAUAAUUAAAUUUAAUUUAUAAAUAUAAUAUUUAAUUAUUAAUUUUAUUUUAAUUAAAGUUUAUAUUUUAUUAUCACUGGGGAUAAGCUCGGUUUUAUUUCUAAAAAAAAUUAAUUUUAAUAAAUUUGUGUAGGAUUAAUAACAUUCAUCAUUUAUUUCGUUAUAGUUAAUAUUUAUUUUAAUUUUAUUUUUUUAUUUUUAGAAUUUUAUUAAAUUUAAUGUUUUAAUAAUUAAAAUAUUUUAAUAAUGAUUAAAUUAGUAUUUUUUAAAUUUAAAAUAUAGGAAUUCGGCAAAUAUUAUUUUCGCCUGUUUAACAAAAACAUGUUCUUUUGAGUUUUAUUUAAGGUCGGCCCUGCCCAAUGAUUUUAUUUAAUGGCCGCAGUAUCCUAACUGUGCAAAGGUAGCAUAAUCAUUUGUCUUUUAAUUGAAGGCUGGUAUGAAUGGGUUGACGAAAAAUAUACUUUCUUUAUUUUAUUAAAAUUAAUUUAAUUUUUAAGUUAAAAAGCUUAAAUUUGAUUGUAGGACGAGAAGACCCUAUAGAGCUUUAUAAAAUUUUAUUUAUUUUGUUUUUGGUUAUUUAAAAUUUAAUAUUUAAUUUUUUAUUUUGUUGGGGUGACAUGAAAAAUUAUUUAACUUUUCAUUAUUAAUUCAUAAAUUAAUGUUUACUUGAUCCAAUAAUAUUGAUUAUAAGAUUAAGCUACCUUAGGGAUAACAGCGUAAUUCUUUUGGAGAGUUCUUAUCGAUAAAAGAGUUUGCGACCUCGAUGUUGGAUUAAAAUAAGUACUAGGUGUAGCCGUUUAGUUACUAGGUCUGUUCGACCUUUAAAUUUUUACAUGAUCUGAGUUCAAACCGGCGUAAGCCAGGUUGGUUUCUAUCCUCAAUAACUUUAAAUAUUUUAGUACGAAAGGACCAAAUAUUUGGAAUAUUUUUUAUUAUUUUGAUUAAUACUA